rnacentral:rRNA from 1 species
GACGAACGCUGGCGGCGUGCUUAACACAUGCAAGUCGAACGGAAAGGACCUGCUUUUGUGGGGUGCUCGAGUGGCGAACGGGUGAGUAACAUGUGAGUAACCUGCCCUUGACUUUGGGAUAACUUCAGGAAACUGGGGCUAAUACCGGAUAGGAGCUCCUGCUGCAUGGUGGGGGUUGGAAAGUUUCGGCGGUUGGGGAUGGACUCGCGGCUUAUCAGCUUGUUGGUGGGGUAGUGGCUUACCAAGGCUUUGACGGGUAGCCGGCCUGAGAGGGUGACCGGCCACAUUGGGACUGAGAUACGGCCCAGACUCCUACGGGAGGCAGCAGUGGGGAAUAUUGCACAAUGGGCGGAAGCCUGAUGCAGCAACGCCGCGUGCGGGAUGACGGCCUUCGGGUUGUAAACCGCUUUCGCCUGUGACGAAGCGUGAGUGACGGUAAUGGGUAAAGAAGCACCGGCUAACUACGUG